rnacentral:rRNA from 1 species
CAGCAGCCGCGGUAAUACGUAGGGUGCGAGCGUUGUCCGGAAUUAUUGGGCGUAAAGAGCUCGUAGGCGGUGUGUCGCGUCGGCCGUGAAAACCUGGGGCUCAACUCUGGGCGUGCGGUCGAUACGGGCAUCACUUGAGUUCGGCAGGGGAGACUGGAAUUCCUGGUGUAGCGGUGAAAUGCGCAGAUAUCAGGAGGAACACCGGUGGCGAAGGCGGGUCUCUGGGCCGAUACUGACGCUGAGGAGCGAAAGCAUGGGUAGCGAACAGGAUUAGAUACCCUGGUAGUCCAUGCCGUAAACG